GUUUUCUCUAGGGGCAGAUCAGACGUGGGGGAUGCUGCCUUUCUCCCAGCCUGCCCUCUUGGUGCCCAUGGACUUCCCAGGCUGAAUUCUGACUUAAGCAUCAGACCUGGCUCUGCUCCCAACUCUGCUUUUGCGACUCUGGUUGAAAUCUGGCAUUCUCUGUGGAAUCCCAGUGGAGGAGGACAACCUGCUUCAAUACACCAGUACAUGAGUUCUUCUGUGCUUUAUGCAAAGACCCACCUUCAGGCGACAUUAAAUAUUAAAUUACUGGUGGAAACUGUACAAAUUACAACUUUGGACACUGCACAUCUUUGGAGGUAAAAGCCCACUCUUAGCGUGCUGCAUACAUCUCUCACUCCCAAAAUGCUGCAAACUGGACUUCUGACAUGAUUAAAAACUCCAGAUUUAGCUUAAUUUGUUGACGGUUUCUUAAUGAACCAAAUCCCUAUAGCUCUUACAAAGUAUCAGUCAUUUCUCCACUGCUGUUCUAGAGAAAGGUGAAGAGCUUCAAAGAAUAGCUCUAGAUGCCAGAGGUCCUUUUCCACAUUCAGGGGACAAGGAGGCCACGGAGGUGGACUCCAAACUGCACUACAACACAUCACCCAUUCAGGAGAAGUAACUGCAUUACAUUUCCAUGAGGCCCUUUAACCUCACAGUCCAACUUGUGCUCAGAAAGGCCUCUCAUACUGAGGUACUUGUGCUUGAAAUACAUUGAUAAUGAGAACAAAUUAAGUGUGUGCUCUUUGAUUAUCAGAUGAUAAAUUAUCACGAUUAUCUUUGCUGCAUCUUGAGAAUUGCUUCCUCUCCAGCAUUUAACUCCUUCUUGCUAUGAAGCUAGUCAGUAUAUCCACUAACUUCUCAUAUCAGGGCCCCAAAAAAACUAGCUUGCAUUUAUUAUUUUUAUGGAAGCCAUACAAAGUUGAGGCAUUAGUAUUUCUACUCAGGACCACCUGAAAAUACUGUUACAAGGAAUAAGAAAUUAACUUUAUCAUUUGGGACAGCAUGCAAGAUCCUGUUUGGGAUAAUUUCUAUCUAUCUCAGUGCUGGGGUGUCUGCAGUAACUACAGUGUCCUUCAAACAAGCUUGUCCUAGGUAACAGCUUGGACAAUAUAUAGUGUUUAGUGACUCUGUUGACUUUGUCAUGUUUUCUGGCCACUACAUUGAUGUGUCAGUGCAUUUGAUGGAGGAGCUAUGCUGUGUUCUUGAUGAGAGAGAGAAUCUGUAUUCAUGUACAUAUGUACAUUGGGUUCUGCCAGAUCAGCUUUCUGAACAUGAUUAAGAGCACAAUUGCACCAACAGUUAGGUCAACAUAACUGGCAGGGAGGUGGCAAAUUGCAAAAAGAAUUAACAGCUGGAUGUGGUAACAGAAAAACAGAGAAAAUGCUUCAGCUGGUAUUGUUACAGAACAUGUCAUUCAACUGAAAAAUAAUGCAUAGGCUUGCUGUAUCACUUGAGUUUAAUCUGGAUGAUGUCACUGAAAAAGGGCUUGCUUCCAGGAGUGGAAAAAUGACUGCAAUGUCAAUAGAGGCAAAGGAUUUACCUAUGCAGUUCCAGUAAAGGAUCAAGUUUUGAAUGAAAAGGAAAAUAAAUGGAUGAGCUAAAUCACAGGAAGGCUGUAUCCCAUCCUUCUUUUUGGGUUUCUUGCCACUGUAAAGGUGCAGUGAGAGAGGCUGCAGAUACCUAGUAAUGAUGGGUAGCUGGUAUCAUCCCAGAUUCACAAUUCCUAGUGCCACAUCUUCCUAUUGUGCUGGUACAGACACUUAGUGACCUUGACAUUGGUGACCCUAUCUCCAGGACUUCUGUCCUUCCCACCCUUCCUUUCCCACAGGAAGCACGACCAUCCCUGUGCUGCUGUGAUCAAUGAACUACUGCAAACGUGCCAGGGGAAAGGGGAUGCCUGUCCUUGGAGAGGGGCACUGUGUGCUGUGAGCCCCCAGAGCUGAGCUGGGGUGGGCUGUGGAGCUGUGACAGCAGGAGGAGUGAGGAACUGACCCCUCAGUCCCACUAACAGUGCCAUCUCUUUUGAAGGGGCAAGACUAAACAAGGUUAAAUACGUUUAAGUACUGGGAAAGAGAAUCAAAUUGUAUCACUUGUCAGAAAUAUUUAACAACAUCUAUGGGCUUCUUUACAUGGCUGACAGUCGUGCCAGGUAGCAUAAAAGACUGGAGCAGAAGGACAUCACAGUAUGGGCAGACAGGAGAGGGAAGGGAUUCAGUGUAACAGCAUGAGGGUGUGCAUACCAUGCUCAUGUGCCCAGGAACCAACAGAAACUACUGGAGUCUUCAUACAUUUCAUUAUAUGGAUAUUGAGAAAACAAAGUUGAAAUGCUUUUUCACCAACCUGUCUAAUUAAAAUUGUCUUAGCUAUGCUCCCCCGUAUAUUGGCAAAUUUUAGUCAACUCUGUGAAAGACAUUUGUCCAAUUAUUUUAUCUUAUCUAUUGCAGAAAUCCAGAUUUGUAGGUCUAUCUGUUCACACACCACUUUAACUCACAAAAUCUCAGACAAUCACAACGACAUUGAAGGCAGGAGAGCUACAGUGGUGUCUCCAUGAAGUAAUUCCUCUUUUGUUUUUCCAGUGAUUCACAACUGACUUAGUUUACAAAGUCCAAACUGGUUUUGCUUCAUUCUUUUGUAUCAUAACUUCCAAAUAAUCUCAAGGUUUUGCUCUCGUGGGAAGACUGACUCACAACCAACUUGCAAAGCUUGGAACAUCAUUUUUAAAAAAGACAGACUGGAGAAUUAAGAAGGUCAGAAGCAAUUACAAACAUUAGGAAAGGAUGGUGAACUACAUUUUGAAGAAAGGACACUUUCUAACCAAACUUUUCAGGUUGCCUUAGCUUUUCUCUUCAUGCUUGCUUUUAUAAUUCCUAUAUUACAGAAAUUACUAAGCUCACUGGUACCCAUAAGUGCAAAGCAAGUUGAAAUUCCCACAUCUUUUCUUUCUUCUUAACAAGAUUCAAGUGGAAAACUACUUUUCUAAAAUACUUUGCUUACUAAUGCGACUCCCUCCUCCCACAUGCCCCAUGACUCGGGUCAAUCAGUUUGCCACUGACAGCAUGGGGCAGAAAUGCAGACACGGGCACAUUGUCAAUUUGAGGAGUGGGAGAAGCCUUCUUCAGCAAUUUCACACAAAAUAACAUUAGGGAAUGCAAAGUGUCAAAAAUUUCCCGUGAAGCCCUGAGAAAAUCUGCAAACUAGAUGUCUCACACCUCUCUGGCAGAUAAUAAACACAGAGCAUAUGGACCCAAGUACUGAAUGUUCAUGAAAACGGAGUCCUCUGUGUUUAAGACCAUGCAGAGUUUCUGAGGACAUGAAUGCAGUUUCAGAAAAGAUUUACACCCUUGUUAUUCAAGUGUUUGGAUAACCAAAAAUGGAAAUUCAGAAAAGGUUUAUUUGUGAGCUGACUUAUUCCUUAAUAAAUUACACUAUUUCUUUCUUA